CUUUGAGUCCCGUAUCCUUGAGUAUUUUCCCUCCUUCUCGAUGCUGGAUUACCAGGUUGAUUAUGAUAACCACCCUCUAUAUAAACACGGAAAGACAGGCCGUAAGCAGUCACCUGUUCGACUUUUCACCAAUCUGAGCCCCAAAGAUAUCAUUCUACCAGAGGAUGAAGGUUACAGAUUUUGCAGUGUUUGUGAGAGGUAUGUGUCGGCUGGAAACAAACACUGUCCA